CCGCACUCACCGUACACCCCUUGGCCGGAGCUGCCCUCCAGCAGAACCGUCAGCAGCCCCAGCAGCCCGAUCGCUACAUCCAUCUUCACGACACCUGGGAAGGAUCUGGAGCCCCACACUGAAGGAUACAACCGUGCUGACAAUGACAACUUCGAUGCCUUUUCCAGAACUGUUCCUCUCCGCCCUCCUGGCAGCUGGACCCCAAUCCUCAUCCUGACCUUUCCAAGUCCUCUUCUCUAAAGGUUCCCUUAAUUCCGUGGAACAUCCCAGAAUAGCAAUUUGCUGGAUUAAUCCCGGGUUACUGGCUGCUGGGGGAACAAUGGCACUUCCAGAAUUCCAUGUUUGAAAACCUCUCUGUGCUUUGGGAAUCUGUUGCCAGCCAGGAAUUUUGCAGCCAAGUGACCAAAAAUAAAGGGAAUAUUUGAUCCAACUUCUGCAGCCCUGGUUUCACCUUGGGAGCAGCCAAGAAUGUUGUGGCCCUUCAGAAAGGAAAAAGGUUUAAAUUUCCAGCUUCCUCACUUCUCACUACAUGAGGAGCUUUCCCCCAGCUCUGGAUGUCCAGGAGUUUGGGAAGUGCAUUUUGGAAUUUCAAUUUAUGGAUUUAUUCAGGUUUGGGAGGUGAGACAACAAUAACAUUGCUUUUCCAUUACAAAAUUUUCCCAAAUAUCCAAUCUAACCCCCCUCCCUAGCCCAGCCUGAGGCCGUUCCCUCUGCUCCUGUCCCUGUUCCCUGGAGCAGAGCCCGACCCCCCGGCUGUGCCCUCCUGGCAGGGAAUUCUGGAAUUUUUCCAUUAUUUCCACCUGGUUUUAUUUUAUUCCUCAGCUGGGCAGCAGGGAAUUGUCCAAGCUGCUGGAAUUCCUUAUCCACAAAAUUAAAACCCUUGAAGAAGUUGUUGGUGACCUUUGUGGGGUGGACAGGUGGAAACAGCUGGUUUUGCCUGGAUAAUGGAAUUCCUACUGGACAGGAACGAGGAUGAGUUGGUGAAUCAUGGAAUCAUGGAAAGGUUUGGGUUCAGGGUACGUUGAAUCUCAUCCAGUCCCACCCCCUUCCAUGGGCAGGGUCACCUUCCACCAUCUCAGGUUUUUCCCAAGUCCCAUCCAACCCAGCCUUGGACAUUUCCAGGGAAUUCCACUUGAAAUCCUGGCUGGAGCAGAGUUUAUUUCAAAGCAGCCAGAUAAACAGCUGGAGAUUCCAGAGCCUGACCCCCUUCUGGGACAGGAGGAUUUCUUGGGACAAGGCUGCCUGUCAGAUUCCUUAAAAAUCUACAAUUAUUGGAUUUAUCACCACAUUUCCCUGUGGAUCUUAUCCCAUUUCCCUGGUUGGUUGCACAGCGCCUCAGCCCCCAUCCUGUGCUGGAUUUUAGCCUCAAGAGCAGCAGAAUUUUCCUAUCCACAGCUGGAAACAUCCCAGACUAUUUGAUUAUAAGGUUUGGAAAGGGCUGAGCUGUAUUUUCUUCUUUAUUCCUGGCAGGAAAAAUCAACCUCACCUGUCCAACAGGUUCAAAUAAACAAGUGAAAAAAACUGCAUCAUGGUUAUAUUACACAGGAAAUCUUAUUUGAAUCCAUUUAUUCACUGCAUUUAAAUAGAAGUCAGUGAAAAGAAAAUAAAAAGAAA